rnacentral:tRNA from 1 species
CAUUGGGUGUCUGAAAAGCAAGAAUUGGUCUCUUAAAUCAAUCUAUAGUAUUUAGCACAUACUCCUAAUGA